rnacentral:tRNA from 1 species
UAGAAAUUAGUUUAUAAAAAACAUAGUCUUGUCAAGGGUAAAAAGUUGAUAAAACAUUUCUAA